AAUGUAUGAAACUGUAAGUCGCUCUGGAUAAGAGCGUCUGCUAAAUUACUAAAA
rfam:Salmo salar isolate Sally breed double haploid chromosome ssa22, whole genome shotgun sequence.